rnacentral:rRNA from 1 species
GACGAACGCUGGCGGUGUGCUUAACACAUGCAAGUCGAACGGUAAGGCCCUUUCGGGGGUACACGAGUGGCGAACGGGUGAGUAACACGUGAGUAACCUGCCCUCAUCUCUGGGAUAACAGUCGGAAACGGUUGCUAAUACUGGAUAUGAGCUUGCAAGGCAUCUUGUGGGUUGGAAAGAUUUUUUUUGGUUGGGGAUGGACUCGCGGCCUAUCAGCUUGUUGGUGAGGUAGUGGCUCACCAAGGCCUCGACGGGUAGCCGGCCUGAGAGGGCGACCGGCCACAUUGGGACUGAGAUACGGCCCAAACUCCUACGGGAGGCAGCAGUGGGGAAUAUUGCACAAUGGACGGAAGUCUGAUGCAGCAACGCCGCGUGCGGGAUGACGGCCUUCGGGUUGUAAACCGCUUUCAAUUGUGACGAAGCGUUUUUGUGACGGUAGCAGUAGAAGAAGCACCGGCUAACUACGUG